CCUACGGGCGGCAGCAGUAGGGAAUCUUCCACAAUGGGCGAAAGCCUGAUGGAGCAACGCCGCGUGGGUGAAGAAGGUCUUCGGAUCGUAAAACCCUGUUGGUAGAGAAGAAAGUGCGUGAGCGUAACUGAUAACGUUUCGACGGUAUCUAACCAGAAAGCCACGGCUAACUACGGGCCAGCAGCCGCGGUAAUACGUAGGUGGCAAGCGUUAUCCGGAUUUAUUGGGCGUAAAGGGAACGCAGGCGGUCUUUUAAGUCUGAUGUGAAAGCCUUCGGCUUAACCGGAGUAGUGCAUUGGAAACUGGGAGACUUGAGUGCAGAAGAGGAGAGUGGAACUCCAUGUGUAGCGGUGAAAUGCGUAGAUAUAUGGAAGAACACCAGUGGCGAAAGCGGCUCUCUGGUCUGUAACUGACGCUGAGGUUCGAAAGCGUGGGUAGCAAACAGGAUUAGAUACCCGAGUAGUC
rnacentral:rRNA from 1 species